AUUGCUGUUUAUUGGAGUGGUGCAGUAUUUCUAGUCAAUCUACCUAUCUUGAAGACGGGCCUAAAAAUCCGUCAAAGGGCACAUCGAUGAAGUUCUUGGUGUUGGCUUCUGACGCCCAGUCGGGGGUCGAUGCUGGGAGUUAAGGUUGAAGGGCGAUCCACAAUGGCAUGUGGGCGUAGACCCUUCUUCCGCGGAGGCCCAAGUUCGUAGUAAGGAGGUUCCUACCAAAUUAUUAUGGCUUGGGGUAUGAACCUGCAAUGCGAGGUUUCACUUGUAUGCAGCGUAGCCUGCCUUGAGUGAUAUAGUGUGGGAUUAUAGGCUAACAAUAAAUCAUCUUCGGCCAAGAUGAUUUAUUCGUUCUAUAUGAAAUCUAUAUUGCAAAAGAGGCUAGGGAUAGGUUAAAGGUUGUUGAGGAAAACUCCUAGACUGCUCAUAAUGAGGCUCUUUGAGGAUUGUAGUGUGGACUAAGUGGUAAUCUAGUCCAAUGUUUGGUGACAACAUUGAGGAGAGCGUAAAGGGAAACCGCCUUUUUGGCGACGAAAAGGUGUCUCUCUUGGGAAAACCUACUGGACCUAAGCCACAGUGUUUACUCAAAGAGUUACCACUCCAAUAUUGGCUUAA
rnacentral:sRNA from 1 species